rnacentral:rRNA from 1 species
GUAGCCGUACGCACAGCUGGGUAGCCAAGUUUGGAAGGGAUAAACGCUGAAAGCAUCUAAGCGUGAAACCCACCUCAAGAUAAGAUUUCCCAUCCGAAAGGAGUAAGACACCUUGAAGAAGACGAGGUAGAUAGGCCGGAGGUGUAAGAGUAGAAAUACUUUCAGCUGACCGGUACUAAUAAGUCGAGGACUUGACCUUU